UGCGUAGGCGGUUUGGCAAGUCUUGUGUGAAAUCUUUGGGCUCAACCCAAAGCCUGCACGGGAAACUGCCGGGCUUGAGUAUGGGAGAGGUGAGUGGAAUUUCCGGUGUAGCGGUGAAAUGCGUAGAUAUCGGAAGGAACACCUGUGGCGAAAGCGGCUCACUGGACCAUAACUGACGCUGAGGCACGAAAGCUAGGGGAGCAAACA
rnacentral:rRNA from 1 species